GUGAUUACAAGUGUUGGUAGGAUGUCGGGAGAAGAGGACCCUCGUGCAUUAUCUACAAAUAUUGAAUCAUAAAAAAAAGCAGCUCUUACUUAUUUUAUCACCAUUAGCAUCAUGAAGACAGUUGUUCAAUUCUGGUAAAUUCAGAGGAAUUUCCACUACCAUGAAAGAAAGAUGAUGUUAGCUAAUCAUAAUUGUCUCAUGGUGUUUGGUGCUACCCCAGACCAUCUUCAGGAUUAAGAGGAAAUAUUAAGAGUUACCAAAUAUAAAAACAAUGAAAUACAUAGGAACAAUCAUUCAAGUGCCAGUGACUUCUCAUCAGCAAGAAAGGGUCUGAAGACACAACCUACUACCUUAAUUUGCCAAAGAGAGGCUGCAGAGAUGUUGGUUUCCACGAUGAUUGUGGGGCUACUGGUUUUUGAGGAUAUCGCAAAGCUGGGGAGUUGGUGAUGGAAACACAGCAAGUUGAACCACCCCAAAGCUCAUGGUUCGUAAC